CUCUCCACAGAUCUCCUAACUCCAACCAACUCAUGACACCAGACCACCACAUAAACACUCCCCUCCUCUUUGAGAUCAAACCCUCGGUGGUUUUUGGCGUUGUUUUCGACUUAUCACGCUAGAGAAAGCCAGUGAAACCUUUCGCCAACCGAAGCUUCAAGUCAUCAAUUCUCUCUCUUUGGCCAUCAAUCACCAACACCAUCACCAUCAUCAGAGUCUUCUCGCUAACAUCUAUCAUAAUUUUUCUUCUUUCUUUUUCAACAAUUCUCGUCAAAAAACGUCAGCCCCUCCAAUAGUUGUCGCGCAUGAGCUACACUCGCUAUUAAAAUUAAAGUUCAAGGAUAUUUUUGAAGUUUUCAUUGAAGUUCAAGGAUAUUUCAGUAUUUUUCCUAGCCAAGUGCAUUCAUGUAAAUUCAGGUACUUCUAGGGGUAUUUUAAUUUUUUUUACAUGUAUUUGUUUUUAUGUUUUUUGUAAAAUACCCUAAAUAAAUAAUAAUAAAAAAACGACGUGGAUCCAACGCC
rnacentral:lncRNA from 1 species